CAAGGAUGAAAAGCUGGUUUCAUGGGAGGAAAUAAUAUUUAGAGAAGAGACAGAUAGCAUUCCCUGCACACUUUGCAUUAACUCUUUGCUCCCACUGCUGCUUGGUGCUGCUGUGGAGUCUUAAUCCAUUGCCCUCUGCCCCCAGCACUCAAGAAGCAUUGUCCUUGGCUUUUCACUAGCACUCUCACCUCAUGCUAGUCUAUGAGCUAGGUGGUACUGGAUAUACCCUUGCAGAUGUUGAGGUUUCACCAGGAGGAGGUGGGUCUCAGCUUGGCCACUCUCCCUCCCUCUCCCUGCCACCAGCAAAUGGUGCCUGGCUGCUCUGUGCCUUCUGCCUCCCCCUUUGCUGUCACCCCACCUGCAGCCCACUUUGUGCAGCCCUUCCAUGGGUUAGGAAGGGCCCAGCUGGAAGCUGGCAGGGGAAGGAGGGGGUAUUUCCAUCAGGCUCAGCACCUCAGAGGAGGGUGUGAUGCCCCUGGCUGGGGUGGUUGCUCAUAGUGUGUAGGAUGCCACUGGACCACCAUGCACCUCAGCACAGACAGACAGGGAGCUGCUGCCAGCCUCAGCCUGCCCAUUGCUGCUCCAUCCCAUUAAACAUUGAUGGCAGUAUUUGGAGAAGCACUCAGGCAGCACGGCAGACCCCAGAUAAAACAAAAAUCCAUCUUAUUCUCACAUCUCCUCUCCCAGCCUUCUUCCUCCCUGAUCUCACAUUAGAGGGUGGGGACUGAAGCCUUCCAGAGAGGCUGAGCACCACACACGAUGUGGGGCUGCCUUCCCCCUUCCUUCCUUCAGAGAAAAACAGGAGGCUGCUGUGCACCCCAUCACUGGAGGUGCCCAAGGCCUGGCUGGAUGAGGCCCUGGGCAGCCGGAUCUGGUGGGGGACACCCAACCCGUGGCAGGGGUUGGAACUGAACGACCUUUGAGGUCUCUUCCAACCCAAAUAUUCUAUAAGUAGGCAGCCUCUGUGGCUCUCCCAUGCCACCAGAUCUGUGUGUGGCUGGAGGGCUCCAUGGGUUCGUGAGCAUGAGGGGGUGUUUCUUCAUUGCAAGCGAAGCAAAAACCAUCAUCUUCUGGAGAGCACACGGCCCCAGGCUGGAGAAGGGGAAAGAUGGGGAGGAGUGGAGGAGCGUGGGCCACAGGGCUGCUCUGGGGCAGCUGUGCUCCCAGAGCAGAUUUCAGCUGGUGGCAGAAUCCAACCAAACCCCACCUGUGUGGGUGCCUUCAGGGCUCCUUGCAGGGCAGGAAACGGUCCCUGCUCACAGCAGAGCUAUCCGCCGGGCAGCCUGGAGCCCAGCAAUGUGGGAUGCCUUUGUCCCUCCUUCUCUUUCUUUUCUACCUCCUCCGCUUCCAGCCUUCUGUGUGUGCAUCACCCCCUCCCUGCCCACAGCUCCUGCCUGGUUUUCCCUCCCCUCCCCAAUUAUGUCCUCCUCACCCUUCUCCUCCCGUGCUGCUCCCCGCACCAGCACUGCUUCCCAGACUCCCCCACUGUCACUCCCUGCUUCUCCACAUGCCCUCCUCUCACUCUCUGUCUCCCCUUCUCUGACAGUUUGGGGGAAUCUGUCUGUGUCAACGCACGAAUUCCAUUAUUUAUUGGCUGAGUGAGGCGAGGUCCUACACUCGUCUGUAAUUGUCUGCAGAUCAAAGCUCCUGCUGAUGGCAGCUUCGCCUUCCCACAGCAGAACGCCACCCCCAGCCUCCCGGGGGGGUCGGACUCGUGUGUGUCAGCACCCUGGGCGACUGAUCUCCCCGACAGAGAGGAAAGAAGUAGGGCUUGUGGGGGGGGGGGGAGGAGGGGGGGGAGAGAGGGAUGUGCAGAGCUCCUGGGAGCGGGCGGGGAUGCUGGGGGCAUUUCAGGGGGCUGUCCUCAGGGGAAGGGGGAGGUAGGGGUGGUCCCUGACCUGAGAGUGAGGACAUGAAAGCAAGUGAAGGGGGAACUGGGAAGCUGAAAAAUUCCCAUGGCUGUUCUGUGCUGGAAAAACUGGAAUUUCCUCUCCAGAGAGGAGUCCCCAGAGGUCCGUGGUGGCUCCACGGAAGCAGAUGGCUACAAAAGAAAUGGGCAUGGAGAAGAACAUGCCUUUUUUUUCCUGCCUUUCCUUCCUGAAACAGAUAACCUAGCCCAGAGAAAGGGGGCUUUGAAGUGAAAUGCAGACAUGUGUUUGUUGCUCGGGUAUAGAUGCAAGGAGGUGCGUGGGGAGUGGGCAAGGACAUGUUGAACCCAACUCCCACGAGGAGAGGAGAGGUUUCGGGUUCUAGGCCCAGGAUCAGGGUGCUCCACCAAGGGAAGCUGCUGGAGUUAUGUUAGUGAUGACCCAUAGUCCUUUGGGAGCUGGCAGCAUGCAUCCUUGUGGCUGCAGGAGCAUAAAAAAGAGCAGGGCAAAUUUCUUGUAGCAUCACUCACAGAUCACUCUGAACCCCUCUCCCCAGGGACAGUCUCCCCAUGUCAUCCAGAUACUCUGAGGAACCUGAGCCUGAUGAACACAAAUCUGUUCUACGUGGAUCUGAGGACACCAUUGGCAGUCCAGAGAGCCUGAUCCCCUCUCACCCAUCAAUACACUGAGCUGUCUGCCCCACGGGGGUCUAUGUGCCUGCAGCUCUCCUCUUGCCCCCAGCAUGUCCUCCUUGUGACACCUCCCUGGCACUGCAGUCAGUCCUCCUCCUUUCUGCACAAUUGAG
ensembl:lncRNA